AGGAGCUCUAAGAAAUCUGGCAGAAGCCAUGACCUCUGCCUACCUUUCCCUGUGUUUGGACCACAAAGCAUCAGCCAGGAGUUGCACCAUGGGAUGGUGGAGUGAGGACAGAGGCAGCACCUGCCAGUCCCUCUAUGGACAGAGCUUGCCUUUGCCUCCGUAAUGCUUGAAUAACAAUUCUUUGUGUCACUCUCUGUGUGAGCACUUAGACUCAUCAUAUUUCUGAUGUUGGUGAGGAGAGACCAUGAGGAGCCUUGUUAGCUUAAUUUAGUCCUGAACAUCACAGAGUCAGGCCACUGGCAAGGUUCUUUGACACAGGACACAGGAAUAUUCCUGUUGCCUCCACAGGAGGAGAGGAUUUCCUGGGAUAUUGUGCUGCAACAGCAGAGGACUGGACUUAGUCCUGUGGCAAAUGGCAGAGACACAGGAAGUGUUACUGAAUUCCUGUUUUACCUACUUGUCUGGAUUACAUGAGGAAAGCAAAAACUGAUGUGGAGACAGAGGUAUCAUAUCUGGGCCCUGACUCUGUAUUACAAAUUGGAUGCAUCUGAACAAUCUGUGCAGUUGGAUCUGAUUCUCUGAAGAAAAUUGCUGGAAAUUGAGAGCAAAGAGCUUUGUGUAAAUUCAGCAUAACCACAGGGUUUAAUAAAUGACUAUUGCCUUACAGCACAUUUCAAAA